ACUCCUGCGGGAGGCAGCAGUGGGGAAUAUUGCACAAUGGGCGCAAGCCUGAUGCAGCGACGCCGCGUGGGGGAUGAAGGCCUUCGGGUUGUAAACUCCUUUCGCUAGGGACGAAGCUUUUUUGUGACGGUACCUAGAUAAGAAGCACCGGCUAACUACGUGCCAGCAGCCGCGGUAAUACGUAGGGUGCGAGCGUUGUCCGGAAUUACUGGGCGUAAAGGGCUCGUAGGUGGUUUGUCGCGUCGUCUGUGAAAUUCUGGGGCUUAACUCCGGGCGUGCAGGCGAUACGGGCAUAACUUGAGUGCUGUAGGGGUAACUGGAAUUCCUGGUGUAGCGGUGAAAUGCGCAGAUAUCAGGAGGAACACCGAUGGCGAAGGCAGGUUACUGGGCAGUUACUGACGCUGAGGAGCGAAAGCAUGGGUAGCGAACAAGAUUAGAAACCCGUAUAGUCCCA
rnacentral:rRNA from 1 species